AUGGCUGUCGUCAGCUCGUGUCGUGAGAUGUUGGGUUAAGUCCCGUAACGAGCGCAACCCUUGUCCUUAUUUGCCAUCAUUUAGUUGGGCACUCUAGGGAGACUGCCGGUGACAAACCGGAGGAAGGUGGGGACGACGUCAAGUCAUCAUGGCCCUUACGACCAGGGCUACACACGUGCUACAAUGGAGCGUACAAAGGGUUGCGACCUCGCGAGAGUGAGCUAAUCCCAUAAAACGUUUCGUAGUCCGGAUCGCAGUCUGCAACUCGACUGCGUGAAGUCGGAAUCGCUAGUAAUCGUAGAUCAGAAUGCUACGGUGAAUACGUUCCCGGGCCUUGUACACACCGCCCGUCACACCAUGGGAGUGGGUUGCAAAAGAAGUGGGUAGCAUAACCUUUGGGAGUGCGCUCACCACUUUGUGAUUCAUGACUGGGGUGAAGUCGUAACAAGGUAGCCGUAGGGGAACCUGCGGCUGGAUCACCUCCUUAAUGAGAUGACAGUCGUUAUUUCAGUUUAGUGCCUACCUCUAUUACUUGAUCUUCUUAGUUAGUUUGACAUGCCCCUUUAGUGGGAUUUAUUUUCACAAGAAGGUGACAAGUUAAAUUUAUAGAACAGAAUUUGGGUCUGUAGCUCAGUUGGUUAGAGCGCACCCCUGAUAAGGGUGAGGUCGGUGGUUCAAAUCCACCCAGACCCACCAAUAUUUAGUUGACCGAUUGGUUAAUUAAAAAGUUCUUUAACAAUUCGGUGAAUGAAGACAUAUAUAUGUUUGUUCGAUGUCUUUGAUUGAGAAGCUCGGCGGUGAUUGUGAUGACCACCAAAGUGUUAAUUGAUCGUAAAGAAGACAUCUCCCAAAAAAACGAAUGUGUGUAUGCUGUAAUUUUAACAAGUUAUACAAGCGCAAAAUCUGUACGAAUGAAAGUCGUUAUUAGUUGCGGAAUUUUUCGAUGUAGUGAUGACCCCGGUAUACAAGACGGGGGUUUUGAUUCUGAGCACUGGAACUGGAAAGAAACUGGGUAGCCCUGGUUUGAAUUCUUCUGGGUAACAGCAGAGUCCAUGAUUAUAUGGUCAAGCAACAAAGCGUACGUGGUGGAUGCCUUGGCAGCUAGAGGCGAUGAAGGACGUUGUAGACUACGAAAAGCUUCGGGGAGCAGUCAAACAUGCUUUGAUCCGGAGGUGUCCGAAUGGGGAAACCCGG
rnacentral:sRNA from 1 species